GACGAACGCUGGCGGCGUGCCUAAUACAUGCAAGUAGAACGCACAGUUUAUACCGUAGCUUGCUACACCAUAAACUGUGAGUUGCGAACGGGUGAGUAACGCGUAGGUAACCUGCCUGGUAGCGGGGGAUAACUAUUGGAAACGAUAGCUAAUACCGCAUAAUAUUAAUUAUUGCAUGAUAAUUGAUUGAAAGAUGCAAUUGCAUCACUACCAGAUGGACCUGCGUUGUAUUAGCUAGUAGGUGAGGUAACGGCUCACCUAGGCGACGAUACAUAGCCGACCUGAGAGGGUGAUCGGCCACACUGGGACUGAGACACGGCCCAGACUCCUACGGGAGGCAGCAGUAGGGAAUCUUCGGCAAUGGACGAAAGUCUGACCGAGCAACGCCGCGUGAGUGAAGAAGGGUGUCGGAUCGUAAAGCUCUGUUGUAAGAGAAGAACGGGUGUGAGAGUGGAAAGUUCACACUGUGACGGUAUCUUACCAGAAAGGGACGGCUAACUACGUG
rnacentral:rRNA from 1 species